CCCCACCCACCGCCGCAUUCCGGGGGGCGAGAUGUUUGCUGGGCUCGGGGAGGCGAAGCAGCCCUUGAAACCCUCCGAGCAACCAAAAAUGUCCCCACCCUGCCCCGCCGGACCCGCUCCUCCUUACGAGCAUAGCGAGGCGCCUGCGGCUGAUGCUUGGCGAGUGGCAUGGUUGUUUCUGCUCAAUAAAAGCUUUUCCGAGGGGUAAGCGCCAUUCCCUGGAGGGGAGAAAAUCCCAGAGAAGCAAAAGGGAGUUUUAUCCCGCAUAUGGCUACGGGAUGGGGCCGGGAAUCGUUAUUUUUCCAAAGGUCAAGAGGGUCCCGAAGGUGAAGACGGGCGCCUCGGCUGAGGGAGGGAAGAGGAGCAUCAGUGGGGCUGCUUAGCCCCCUCACAGAAUGCGUGCAGGGCAAAACCGGGGAUGCCCGGCAUUCAGGCGAACUGAACCCAGAGGAGGAACGACCCCCUGUACCUGCGCUGCGCAGGAUUAGCCCUCGGACCCCAAACUCGUUGGAGACGAGGUGACGAGCGCAGCCGGCUCCGUGCGGGAGGGAAGGAGAAAUGCCCUCCGAUGCGCUCCCCGUGCCCCACGUCUGCUCCGCAGUUAAUACAAGCGCCCACCCCCAGCUAUACAAAGAGAGAGAGUCUUCCUCCGGGAAAAUAGAAAUGUCCAGUUAGAAGAGUGUAUCUCCUGUCUGACUCCUGGCUUAGGGACACUUGGGACAACAUUCGUGUUCUGACAACAGGACUUGAAAACUGUUUUUGAAAAGGCAAACUUAUUCGAAGGCAUCGGCUUACAGCUUCGGCCACAGGAUCACACUUUCGACAUUUCGAUCCCCAGAAUAGAAAUAAAAGUGCUAGCUUUGAGGAGGGGUGGAGGUGAGGAGACAAGAAACAAUAAAGGAAAUUAAAAGAAAAAAAAAAAAGGAAAAAAAAGAAAAGAAAAAAAGGAAAAGAAAAGAAUGUAAAGAACAGCACGGAAUGAGAAAGAACUGAAGAAGCUGAGAUGAGGGAACAUCUUUGCUUUGCCUCUGCCUCAUAAAAAUGCCACUCGUUUAUAAAAGAAGGGAACGAAAAUCUCUUCGCCUGCCCAGAGCAGUGAGUAGUGUUGGACCCCAGACUCUUCCCUGAAACUGGGAUGUUUUGGAGAUGAAAUUGCAGUGCUAGGGCUUAUUUCUCCGCUCUGCCGUCGUGCUUAUGAACACUUAUUCUCCAGGAUGAUAACGCGAUGGACAGUUGCUUUCUUGUUGCCGCUUUUUUUUUUUUUUUUUAGUUUAUUUGUUUGUUUGCUUUUCCUUCUCAGAUAGGCAAAAAUCAGUGUAAUAACAGCAGUGACAUGAACAAUAAAAAAACACACGCGUGUCCCUGAGCACGGUA